rnacentral:rRNA from 1 species
UAGCUAGUUGGUGAGGUAACGGCUUACCAAGGCGACGAUCUGUAGCGGGUCAGAGAGGAUGAUCCGCCACACUGGAACUGAGACACGGUCCAGACUCCUACGGGAGGCAGCAGUGGGGAAUUUUGGACAAUGGGGGCAACCCUGAUCCAGCCAUGCCGCGUGAGUGAAGAAGGCCUUCGGGUUGUAAAGCUCUUUCGGCCGGGAAGAAAUCGCAUGGGCCAAUACCCUGUGUGGAUGACGGUACCGGAAUAAGAAGCACCGGCUAACUACGUGCCAGCAGCCGCGGUAAUACGUAGGGUGCGAGCGUUAAUCGGAAUUACUGGGCGUAAAGCGUGCGCAGGCGGUUUUGUAAGACAGGCGUGAAAUCCCCGGGCUCAACCUGGGAACUGCGUUUGUGACUGCAAGGCUAGAGUACGGCAGAGGGGGGUGGAAUUCCACGUGUAGCAGUGAAAUGCGUAGAGAUGUGGAGGAACACCAAUGGCGAAGGCAGCCCCCUGGGUCGAUACUGACGCUCAUGCACGAAAGCGUGGGUAGCAAACAGGAUUAGAUACCCUGGUAGUCCACGCCCUAAACUAUGUCAACUAGGUGUUGGGUGGGUAAAACCAUUUAGUACCGUAGCUAACGCGUGAAGUUGACCGCCUGGGGAGUACGGCCGCAAGGUUAAAACUCAAAGGAAUUGACGGGGACCCGCACAAGCGGUGGAUGAUGUGGAUUAAUUCGAUGCAACGCGAAAAACCUUACCUACCCUUGACAUGCCAGGAACUUGCCAGAGAUGGCUUGGUGCCCGAAAGGGAGCCUGGACACAGGUGCUGCAUGGCUGUCGUCAGCUCGUGUCGUGAGAUGUUGGGUUAAGUCCCGCAACGAGCGCAACCCUUGUCGUUAAUUGCCAUCAUUUAGUUGGGCACUUUAGCGAGACUGCCGGUGACAAACCGGAGGAAGGUGGGGAUGACGUCAAGUCCUCAUGGCCCUUAUGGGUAGGGCUUCACACGUCAUACAAUGGUCGGUACAAAGGGUCGCCAAGCCGCGAGGUGGAGCCAAUCCCAGAAAGCCGAUCGUAGUCCGGAUUGCAGGCUGCAACUCGCCUGCAUGAAGUCGGAAUCGCUAGUAAUCGUGGAUCAGCAUGUCACGGUGAAUACGUUCCCGGGUCUUGUACACACCGCCCGUCACACCAUGGGAGCGGGUUCCGCCAGAAGUAGGUAGCCUAACCGCAAGGAGGGCGCUUACCACGGCGGGGUUCGUGACUGGGGUGAAGUCGGAACAAGGUAGCCGUAGGGGAACCUGCGGCUG